UGGGGAAUUUUGGACAAUGGGCGAAAGCCUGAUCCAGCAAUGCCGCGUGUGUGAAGAAGGCCUUCGGGUUGUAAAGCACUUUUGUCCGGAAAGAAAUCCUUGCUCUAAUACAGUCGGGGGAUGACGGUACCGGAAGAAUAAGCACCGGCUAACUACGUGCCAGCAGCCGCGGUAAUACGUAGGGUGCAAGCGUUAAUCGGAAUUACUGGGCGUAAAGCGUGCGCAGGCGGUUUGCUAAGACCGAUGUGAAAUCCCCGGGCUCAACCUGGGAACUGCAUUGGUGACUGGCAGGCUAGAGUAUGGCAGAGGGGGGUAGAAUUCCACGUGUAGCAGUGAAAUGCGUAGAGAUGUGGAGGAAUACCGAUGGCGAAGGCAGCCCCCUGGGCCAAUACUGACGCUCAUGCACGAAAGCGUGGGGAGCAAACAGGAUUAGAUACCCUGGUAGUCCACGCCCUAAAACGAUGUCAACUAGUUGUUGGGGAUUCAUUUCCUUAGUAACGUAGCUAACGCGUGAAGUUGACCGCCUGGGGAGUACGGUCGCAAGAUUAAAACUCAAAUGAAUUGACGGGGUCAUAGCUGUUUCCU
rnacentral:rRNA from 1 species